rnacentral:lncRNA from 1 species
CUUUCACAUUCGGGAAGCGUCGGGAUUAGGUGAAAGUCGCCGGGCGUCCACGUGCAGCCCUGGACCCUGAACCCCGGCGUGCGUGGGCCGUGGGCCCUCGGGGAAAGGUUCCGUGCACUCGGGGACUCCGGUGAAGCCUGUUCAGCCGUCUGUGUCAUGUGGCCAUCUUGAGUCUACUCUGUCGCUCUUGUGCCCUAGCACCCCGAGAACCGUCAGUUUGAGCCAGAUGACUAUCAAGAAAUCCAAGUGGUAAUGGGCGAAGUUUAUUCAGCAUCCGGCAAUGGACUUAUCGUAGUUGGGGAAACGGGUGUUCCGAAUAAUAUCCUGGAAGUUAUCAGGACACCUAUUUUAAAUAUAGGCCUGAAUUUUGUAAAGUAAUAUUUAAGGUGGUCCGUGAUAAUUAAAUAAAAUGCUUAAUUCAUGUGGCUA